GACGUAGGGUCCAAGCGUUGUCCGGAUUUACUGGGCGUAAAGAGCGCGCAGGCGGUCGAUCAAGUCGAGUGUGAAAGCCCCCGGCUCACCUGGGGAGGGUCAUUCGAAACUGGUCGACUCGAAGGCAGGAGAGGGUAGUGGAAUUCCCGGUGUAGUGGUGAAAUGCGUAGAUAUCGGGAGGAACACCAGUGGCGAAGGCGACUACCUGGCCUGUUCUUGACGCUGAGGCGCGAAAGCUAGGGGAGCAAACGGG
rnacentral:rRNA from 1 species